rnacentral:rRNA from 1 species
CGUAGGGUGCGAGCGUUAAUCGGAAUUACUGGGCGUAAAGCGUGCGCAGGCGGUUUUGUAAGCCAGAUGUGAAAUCCCCGGGCUCAACCUGGGAAUGGCAUUUGGGACUGCAAGGCUUGAGUGCGGCAGAGGAGACUGGAAUUCCUGGUGUAGCAGUGAAAUGCGUAGAUAUCAGGAGGAAUACCGAUGGCGAAGGCAGGUCUCUGGGCUGACACUGACGCUCAUGCACGAAAGCGUGGGGAGCAAACAGGAUUAGAUACCUGGUAGUCCACGCCCUAAACGAUGUCGACUGGUUGUUGGGGGUUUGACACUCUCAGUAACGAAGCUAACGCGUGAAGUCGACCGCCUGGGGAGUACGGCCGCGAAGGUUA